GAGGGUAUGGCUCAGUGGUAGAGUGCGUGCUUAGCAUGCAUGAGGUCCUGGGUUCAAUUCCCAGUACCUCCA
rnacentral:tRNA from 1 species